rnacentral:rRNA from 1 species
AGAGUUUGAUCCUGGCUCAGGACGAACGCUGGCGGCGUGCCUAAUACAUGCAAGUCGAGCGGAGCUGAUGAGGUGCUUGCCUCUGAUGCUUAGCGGCGGACGGGUGAGUAACACGUAGGCAACCUGCCCUCAAGACCGGGGAUAACAUUCGGAAACGAAUGCUAAGACCGGAUACGCGGGGCGCUCGCAUGAGCGCUUCGGGAAACACGGUGCAAGCUGUGGCUUGAGGAUGGGCCUGCGGCGCAUUAGCUAGUUGGUGGGGUAACGGCUCACCAAGGCGACGAUGCGUAGCCGACCUGAGAGGGUGAACGGCCACACUGGGACUGAGACACGGCCCAGACUCUUACGGGAGGCAGCAGUAGGGAAUCUUCCACAAUGGGCGAAAGCCUGAUGGAGCAACGCCGCGUGAGUGAGGAAGGCUUUCGGGUCGUAAAGCUCUGUUGCCAGGGAAGAAUAAGGGCGAGUUAACUGCUCGUCCGAUGACGGUACCUGAGAAGAAAGCCCCGGCUAACUACGUGCCAGCAGCCGCGGUAAUACGUAGGGGGCAAGCGUUGUCCGGAAUUAUUGGGCGUAAAGCGCGCGCAGGCGGUCUUUUAAGUCUGGUGUAUAAGUGCGGGGCUCAACCCCGUGAGGCACUGGAAACUGGGAGACUUGAGUGCAGAAGAGGAGAGCGGAAUUCCACGUGUAGCGGUGAAAUGCGUAGAGAUGUGGAGGAACACCAGUGGCGAAGGCGGCUCUCUGGACUGUAACUGACGCUGAGGCGCGAAAGCGUGGGGAGCAAACAGGAUUAGAUACCCCCGUAGUCC